CUACUUGAGGCAGAUUGUAUUCCUGUGUGGUUUACUGUUGUAAUAUGACUGUCGGACUUUGGCGGGAGUUUGUCCCCGGGGAACUGACCAGGCGAGUGAGUAUGUAUGUAUGUAUGUAUGUAUGUAUGUAUGUAUGUAUGUAUGUAUGUAUGUAUGUGUGUGUGUGUGUGUGUGUGCGCGCGCGCGUUUAUGGACUCAGUAGGGACAGCUGUCAGUGACGAGACGGCUUCGUCACAUUAUCCCUCUCUUCCCCAAGGUUGGGAAUGUUUGGCAACCGUGACAUCUAGUCUGCUACGACAUUGGAUUUUCCAGAUCGAUGGCGGAUGUGGAACUUGAAAGGCUGCAGUGAGAGGUACCACCAUGUAAGCCGGCUAUUUUUGUCUUUCAUUGAACUAAUCCAGGUAAGAGCACGAUGAUCAGUCUCUAGAUCAAAUUCUCUGCCCAACAGAUAAUAGCGCAGACUUUCUAAUGCCCAUUUUAUUGCUAGUCCUUCUUUUCAAUGACAGAGUAUCUGGUCUCACGGGGAAGUAGCUUCCUGCUCAGGUACAGGAUGGGUUGCUCAGCUCCUUCCUCACCCUGGGCCAGGACUGCUCCGAUUCCCACGGCUGAUGCAUCCACUUGCACCAGGAACUUCUUGUUAAAGUCUGGGCUGCACAGGACCGGAGAUGAACACAGCUGUCCAUUAAGGCCUCUGAAGGCUUCCUCACAUUCCUCAUUCCAGGCCACAGGGUUCUUCUGGUCUUUGGUGGUAAGUGCUGUAAGUGGGGCAGCGAUGGUUGCGAACUGCGGUACAAAACGGCGAUACCAGCCAGCCAAACCCAGGAAAGAACGAACCUCCUUUUUGGUCCGUGGUUGCGGGCAGUUAAGGAUGGCCUCCACUUUGUCCACCUGUGGCCGUACCUCUCCUCGUCCCAGCUGGUAUCCCAAGUAUCGAACCUCUUGUUUAGCCCACUCACACUUGGCAAUAUUUAAAGUCAGCCCGGCCUGCUGAAUGGCUCCCAGGACUCUCCUCAGAUGUUUGAUGUGCUCUUCCCAGGUGUUGCUAAAGAUGACCACAUCAUCCAAAUAGGCAGCACUGGAGUCUUCAUACCCCUGGAGGACCCUGUCCAUCAGUCUCUGGAAGGUUGCUGGGGCUCCAUGGAGGCCAAACGGCAUGACCGAGUCCAGCAGGUGUGCGAAAAGCUGUGUAGGGUCGGCAGGAGGGCUCCAAAGGUCAUCAAUUCUCGGCAUGGGAUAGGCGUCAAACUCUGAAAUGGCGUUCAGCUUUCUGAAAUCGAUGCAGGGCCGUAGUGAGCCAUCCUUUUUGGUUAGGAGGACCAUUGGGCUACACCACUCUGAUUCUGAUGGCUCGAUCACCCCCAUCUCCAGCAUGGUUGUGAUCUCCUCCUUCAGUUUCCCAACCAGCUGCUGAGGAACACGGUAUAGACGUUGUCUGAUGGGUCAGUUGUCCUUUAACCGGAUGACAUGUUGAGUGACUGAGGUUCUGCCUGGUGUUGCUCCAAACAGGGACGGUGCCUCCAGGAACACUUGUAGAAGGUCUGAUGCUUGGUCAUGUGUGAGAUGGGAAAGCACUGGUGUUGCAGUCUGGGUUAAGGUGUCCCAACCUGGGUUUUCCUUCUCAAACUCUUCCUCUCUCACCACUAGGCCCACUGUCGCCUGAGUCUGAGGUUCUUUCCAUCUCUUUAGUAGGUUGACAUGGUAAGUCUGUUUCGGCUUCUUCUUAUCAGGAUGAUGCACUUCAUAUGUCACAGGGCCCAUUUUCCGGGUAAUGGUGUACGGUCCUUGCCACUUUGACAACAGUUUACUGUUGGAGGAAGGAAGGAGUAGAAGCACCUUCUGACGAGGAGUACAUGUUUUCUGACAGGUUGGGCAUGUCAUGCAGUAUGAUUGAAUGUCUGUGUACAUACCAGGCCAAUAAAACCGUGAGCUAACGCAUAUGUAAAUUUUAUGUCGUCCAAGGUGCCCAGCCCAUGGAACAGUAUGAGCUAAAUGCAUUUCCAAGGGUCUGCAGCUAAUUGGGAUUACAAGGCGUUUGUGGUUGUCACUGCUUAUAUACAAUAUACCAUUUUCAACAAUACAAAACUCAUUCCCCACAGGGUUAACAUUCCCAACAUCCAUCACCUUGGCAAACAGGGGCUCCAAUGUGCUAUCUUGCUUCUGUAAUUCCACAAUAUUUUCAGGUAUCUCCCAUAUUUUGUCUGUGUUUAAACCUUGUACAUUGUGUUCAGUUAAACCAAGCUGUUUUUCAAAACGACGUUGCCGUCUAGACUUUUUAGGCCCUUUUAUGCCACCCUCACACAGACUACCAUCCAAGUCUGGGAGAGGCAUGACCCCAGCCUUUGCAUGGGCUCUAGUAAUGACCAGACAAGAAACACACUCCUGGUCAUUAGCAUUAGCAGUAGCAGUGUCAUUGGUGUUAGCAUCAACAUUAUCAGUCCCAGCAGUUUCAUCAAUCUCCCCUUUCUGUAGCAAACAUAUCAGCACUGGCAAGUCCCUCCCCAAAAGAAGGUCCACAGGCAUUAUCUACCACCCCAACAGUCAGAAAAUAAGGCUGAUCAUCGAUUAACACAGUUAUUUCAGUCUGAGGUGGACAAACUGAAGCUUUGUGUCCAGGCUGCUGACAAUAAUAGCAAAUCAGUGUCUUACCGGUUGCUGGUUGUUCAGUCUCUGUGCUGGUGGUACCUGGAAGAUGUCGUACUGUUGCUCCCCGUUGUGUCCAGCCCUGCGAUAUCGGAAGGGCUGGAGGCCGUACGUUGGUGGUGGGUCGAGCCAAGGUGGUGGUACGUGUAGAUGGUCCUCCUCUGCGUGCAUUGAGGACGCGAAGAAGUUGCUCCAGGAUGAUGGCCUCCCCGAUCUGCUCUUUGGUCCGUUGCUCCGGCUGAAUCCAACGGCGGUAGAGUCCUUUUAAGCGGUGAUAUGUCUCAGUGGGCGUUUCUCCAUGUGGCACAGAUGGCACUGAUCACUCCUCUUCCUCAUGCUCUGCAUGCUGACACAGUCACUGAGGAACGCUCCAGACAUGAAGAGGCUGUCCAGGCCCCUGAGGUCUAGCCUCCGAAGCGAGGUCAGGCGAGGGAGAAGAGACAGCAGAGACGCCUCUGUUAUACUGCUACCAGGCAGAGCCAAACUCUCCACCCUGGAGCCCAGAGACAGACCCACCUGA